AUUGAACGCUGGCGGCAGGCCUAACACAUGCAAGUCGAGCGAGCGGCGGACGGGUGAGUAAUGCUUGGGAAUCUAGCUUAUGGAGGGGGAUAACUACGGGAAACUGUAGCUAAUACCGCGUACCAUAGGAUGAGCCCAAGUGGGAUUAGGUAGUUGGUGAGGUAAAGGCUCACCAAGCCGACGAUCUCUAGCUGGUCUGAGAGGAUGACCAGCCACUCUGGGACUGAGACACGGCCCAGACUCCUACGGGAGGCAGCAGUGAGGAAUAUUGCGCAAUUGGGGCAACCUGACUCAGCCAUGCCGCGUGAAUGAAGAAGGCCUUCGGGUUGUAAAGUUCUUUCGGUAGCGAGGCGUUGACUACAGAAUAGGCACCAGCUAACUCCGUGCCAGCAGCCGCGGUAAUUC
rnacentral:rRNA from 1 species